UGCCAGCAGCCGCGGUAAUACGUAGGGUGCAAACGUUGUCCGGAAUUACUGGGUGUAAAGGGUCCGUAGGCGAAUAAGUAAGUCUGUGGUGAAAUCUUGUGGCUCAACCACAAAAUUGCCAUUGAUACUGCUUGUAUAGAGCAUAAAAGAGGAAGAUGGAAUUCAUGGUGUAGCAGUGAAAUGCGUAGAUAUCAUGAAGAACACCGGUAGCGAAGGCUAUCUUCUGGUUUAUUGCUGACGCUGAGGGACGAAAGCGUGGGGAUCAAACAGGAUUAGAUACCCUGGUAGUCCACGCCCUAAACGAUGGAUACUAGAUGUCGGAUCGUAAGAUUCGGUGUCCAAGUUAACACAUUAAGUAUCCCACCUGGGGAGUACGAUCGCAAGGUUGAAACUUAAAUAAAUUGACGG
rnacentral:rRNA from 1 species